GACGAACGCUGGCGGUGUGCUUAACACAUGCAAGUCGAACGGUAAGGCCCUUUCGGGGGUACACGAGUGGCGAACGGGUGAGUAACACGUGAGUAACCUGCCCUCAUAUCUGGGAUAACAGUCGGAAACGGUUGCUAAUACUGGAUAUGAGCUUGCAAGGCAUCUUGUGGGUUGGAAAGAUUUUUUUUGGUUGGGGAUGGACUCGCGGCCUAUCAGCUUGUUGGUGAGGUAGUGGCUCACCAAGGCUUCGACGGGUAGCCGGCCUGAGAGGGCGACCGGCCACAUUGUGACUGCGAUACGUCCCACACUCCUACGGGAGGCAGCAGUGGGGAAUAUUGCACAAUGGACGGCAGUCUGAUGCAGCAACGCCGCGUGCGGGAUGACGGCCUUCGGGUUGUAAACCGCUUUCAAUUGUGACGAAGCUUUUUUGUGACGGUAGCAGUAGAAGAAGCACCGGCUAACUACGUG
rnacentral:rRNA from 1 species